GAGUUUGAUCAUGGCUCAGGAUGAACGCUAGCGGUAUGCUUAACACAUGCAAGUCGUACGAGAGUCUUUGACUCUAGUGGCGGACGGGUGAGUAACGCGUGGGAAUCUGCCCUCAGGAGGGGGAUAACGGUUGGAAACGACCGCUAAUACCCCAUAUGCCGAGAGGUGAAAUGAAUUUCGCCUGAGGAUGAGCCCGCGUCUGAUUAGCUUGUUGGUGAGGUAAUGGCUCACCAAGGCUUCGAUCAGUAGCUGGUCUGAGAGGAUGAUCAGCCACACUGGGACUGAGACACGGCCCAGACUCCUACGGGAGGCAGCAGUGGGGAAUUUUCCGCAAUGGACGGAAGUCUGACGGAGCAACGCCGCGUGAGGGACGAAGGCCUCUGGGCUGUAAACCUCUUUUCUCAAGGAAGAAGAUAUGACGGUACUUGAGGAAUAAGCCACGGCUAAUUCCGUGCCAGCAGCCGCGGUAAUACGGGAGUGGCAAGCGUUAUCCGGAAUUAUUGGGCGUAAAGCGUCCGCAGGCGGCCUUUCAAGUCUGCUGUUAAAACGUGGAGCUCAACUCCAUCAUGGCAGUGGAAACUGAUAGGCUUGAGUAUGGUAGGGGCAGAGGGAAUUCCCGGUGUAGCGGUGAAAUGCGUAGAUAUCGGGAAGAACACCAGUGGCGAAGGCGCUCUGCUGGGCCAUAACUGACGCUCAUGGACGAAAGCCAGGGGAGCGAAAGGGAUUAGAUACCCCUGUAGUCCUGGCCGUAAACGAUGAACACUAGGUGUCGGGGGAAUCGACCCCUUCGGUGUCGUAGCUAACGCGUUAAGUGUUCCGCCUGGGGAGUACGCACGCAAGUGUGAAACUCAAAGGAAUUGACGGGGGCCCGCACAAGCGGUGGAGUAUGUGGUUUAAUUCGAUGCAACGCGAAGAACCUUACCAGGGCUUGACAUCCUGCGAACCUUUAAGAAAUUAGAGGGUGCCUUCGGGAACGCAGUGACAGGUGGUGCAUGGCUGUCGUCAGCUCGUGUCGUGAGAUGUUGGGUUAAGUCCCGCAACGAGCGCAACCCACGUUUUUAGUUGCCAGCAUUUAGUUGGGCACUCUAGAAAGACCGCCGGUGAUAAACCGGAGGAAGGUGUGGAUGACGUCAAGUCAUCAUGCCCCUUACGUCCUGGGCUACACACGUACUACAAUGCUACGGACAAAGGGCAGCAAACUCGCGAGAGCUAGCAAAUCCCAUAAACCGUGGCUCAGUUCAGAUCGUAGGCUGCAACUCGCCUACGUGAAGUAGGAAUCGCUAGUAAUCGCAGGUCAGCAUACUGCGGUGAAUACGUUCCCGGGCCUUGUACACACCGCCCGUCACACCAUGGAAGUUGGCCACGCCCGAAGUCGUUACUUUAACCCUUGUGGAGAAGGACGCCGAAGGUGGGGCUGAUGACUGGGGUGAAGUCGUAACAAGGUAACC
rnacentral:rRNA from 1 species